GACGAACGCUGGCGGCGUGCUUAACACAUGCGAGUCGAACGGAAAGGCCUGCUUUCCCUUGUGGAUUGCGGGUACUCGAGUGGCGAACGGGUGAGUAACACGUGAGUGAUCUGCCCCCAACUUGGGUAUAAGCCUGGGAAACUGGGUCUAAUUCCCGAUAGGACUGCAGGGUGGUGCCUGUGGUGGAAAACGAUUUUCUAGUGGUUGGGGAUGAGCUCGCGGCCUAUCAGCUUGUUGGUGGGGUAAUGGCCUACCAAGGCGGCGACGGGUAGCCGGCCUGAGAGGGUGGACGGCCACAUUGGGACUGAGAUACGGCCCAGACUCCUACGGGAGGCAGCAGUGGGGAAUAAUGCACAAUGGGCGGAAGCCUGAUGCAGCGACGCCGCGUGGGGGAUGACGGCCUUCGGGUUGUAAACUCCUUUCGACCGCGAGGAAGCCACCUGGUUGGAAGGGUGGUGACGGUAGUGGUAGAAGAAGCACCGGCUAACUACGUG
rnacentral:rRNA from 1 species